CAUACAGUAAUUUACUUAAUUUCUAGUUUUAUGAAUAAAUUUUGGAUUUUAACUUAAAGUUUAAUAUUUUAGUUUUGAAAAAUUUUUUUAAUUUCAUUUCAGAUUUAGAUCUAAAAAUUAAGUAAUUAAUCUCCUUUUUUGUCUUGUUAGAUCCCUUUUGUGGAUUCAAGAUCUCGGUAUCUUUUAAUAUUUUUGAUAAUUAAUUUUUGAACCUCCAAAUAAUGGAGCCUCGUGUCGGUAAUAAGUUUCGUCUUGGCCGAAAAAUUGGUAGCCGUUCGUUUGGUGAGAUCAGUGUCGGGACUAAUGUUCAGACCAAUGAAGAAGUUACAAUUAAGCUGUUCUGGGAGUCUGAAACUCACACUUGUGGUCUCCAGAAGGUCUAAAGAACAUGUGGUUCAUCAGUACUUAAAGAUGGUGGUGCAGGUCCUUCCAUAGCAAGUUCGGAGUUCCAAAUUACUUUCAUUUCAACAACUUGAACAAACCAUGAUAUGUUACAGUAUUUUCUUUGGCAAGGGCUGCAUCUUAUGCUGCAAAUUUUGAUGGUUUCUGUACUCCAAUAGUUUUCUAUGAGCAAAACUUUAUCUUGUUAUUCAUAAGAAAGAAGACGGAUCAUAUGUUAAUGAAGUGGCAAAAGAGAUUUGUAUAUCUUGGCUACAAGAAGACCAUCUUGUUGGACAGAAAGCUUCUAGUGGAUAUAAUAGACCAAAAAAAAUACUGCCACAGUUUUUGUGAAUGAUUUAGAGAAAAUAGCUCUCAACACGGUGAGACAGUGAGAAAGCAGGAUUUUGCUUCAAUGCAGCUAUUUUGAAUUUCAGCGGGAGGUGCACUAUGACUGGCUGAGAAGUCUCGAGAGCAUGCUGGCAAGUACAUUAAAAAUGUUUUACAUAAAUUAAUAAUCGAUUUCCUGUAUAGAAGAAGCUUCU